rnacentral:tRNA from 1 species
GGCUUGCUGGUCUAGUGGUAUGAUUCUCGCUUAGGGUGCGAGAGGUCACGGUUUCGAUUCCCGUGCAAGCCC